AUUGAACGCUGGCGGCAUGCUUUACACAUGCAAGUCGAACGGUAACAGGCCGCAAGGUGCUGACGAGUGGCGAACGGGUGAGUAAUGCAUCGGAACGUGCCCAGUCGUGGGGGAUAACUACUCGAAAGAGUAGCUAAUACCGCAUACGAUCUAUGGAUGACAGCGGGGGACCGUAAGGCCUCGCGCGAUUGUAGCGGCCGAUGUCAGAUUAGGUAGUUGGUGGGGUAAAGGCUCACCAAGCCAACGAUCUGUAGCUGGUCUGAGAGGACGACCAGCCACACUGGGACUGAGACACGGCCCAGACUCCUACGGGAGGCAGCAGUGGGGAAUUUUGGACAAUGGGCGCAAGCCUGAUCCAGCAAUGCCGCGUGCAGGAAGAAGGCCUUCGGGUUGUAAACUGCUUUUGUACGGAACGAAACGGCUCUGGUUAAUACCCGGGGCUAAUGACGGUACCGUAAGAAUAAGCACCGGCUAACUACGUG
rnacentral:rRNA from 1 species